CUGCCAACGUUCCGUCGACUGGGAACUUGAGAGAGCGCCUAAAAGCUUUCUUCAGAAAUAAGACGCAAAAUAAAUUCAAUGUUCAUUAACGGGUUUUGAAAGACGGCGCUGGCAUAACUACUUGUCGACAGUUUAUUCCAAAGACAAUGGAAAUGAGAUAUUAAAAAUUGUGACUCAGAAUAGGUGGGAAAUGAUUCGCGUGUCUAAAAUUGGAUAAAUAUAUACAUAACAUAAAUACAUAAUAGAAGUGGAAAAUGAACAAAGGGAAGAUGGAUGCUUCUGUUGGAAAAAUAGGAAGAUAGAUAAACACACCGGAGAAGGGUGAAAGAUAAUAAUAAUAAUACAUCUGAUGCGUGAAAAUGGGCGUGACAAAAUUUGUUUUCCAUAACUUAGCCCAGAAGAGUGACCACA
rnacentral:sRNA from 1 species